rnacentral:rRNA from 1 species
CAGUAGCCACGGUAAUACGUAGGGUGCAAGCGUUGUCCGGAAUCAUUGGGCGUAAAGCGCGCGUAGGUGGCCAUUUAAGUCCGCUGUGAAAUCUAUGGGCUCAACCCAUAGUCUGCACGGGAAACUGUCGGGCUUGAGAAUGGGAGAGGUGAGUGGAAUUUCCGGUGUAGCGGUGAAAUGCGUAGAUAUCGGAAGGGACACCUGUGGCGAAAGCGGCUCACUGGACCAUUUCUGACGCUGAUGCACGAAAGCUAGGGGAGCAAACAGGAUUAGAUACCCCUGUAGUCCCUGUCUCUUAUAA